UAGUAUCAGCCACAAGCUGGUGCUAUCUAGAAGUGUAGAUGGCUAAAAGGGAAUCCGGUGUGAAUCCGGAACUGACGCGCAGCGGUAAAAGAGAACAAACACCCAUAAGACACUGCAUGAUGGAAAUGUGCGGGAAGUCGGGUUAGUAGGCUAACAGCUCUUAAGUCCGAAUACCUGCCAGCAACUGAGCUCAAUC
rnacentral:ncRNA from 2 species